GGGUCAGUAGGUUGGUCGUGCCACCGGUACGUACUGGUCUCACUGAUCCCUACUUCCUGAAUAACCGUAAUGCCAUUAAUUUGGUGUUGCGGGGAAACAGGACUGUUACUUUGAAAAAAUUAGAGUGUUUAAAGCAAGCUAACGCUUGAAUACAUUAGCAUGGAAUAAUGAAAUAGGACGAUCGAUCCUAUUUUGUUGGUUUCUAGGAUUGACGUA
rnacentral:rRNA from 1 species